rnacentral:rRNA from 1 species
GUGGAGCCGACCUUGAAAUACCACCCUUUAAUGUUUGAUGUUCUAACGUGGACCCGUUACCCGGGUUGCGGACAGUGUCUGGUGGGUAGUUUGACUGGGGCGGUCUCCUCCUAAAGAGUAACGGAGGAGCACGAAGGUUGGCUAAUCCUGGUCGGACAUCAGGAGGUUAGUGCAAUGGCAUAAGCCAGCUUGACUGCGAGCGUGACGGCGCGAGCAGGUGCGAAAGCAGGUCAUAGUGAUCCGGUGGUUCUGAAUGGAAGGGCCAUCGCUCAACGGAUAAAAGGUACUCCGGGGAUAACAGGCUGAUACCGCCCAAGAGUUCAUAUCGACGGCGGUGUUUGGCACCUCGAUGUCGGCUCAUCACAUCCUGGGGCUGAAGUAGGUCCCAAGGGUAUGGCUGUUCGCCAUUUAAAGUGGUACGCGAGCUGGGUUUAGAACGUCGUGAGACAGUUCGGUCCCUAUCUGCCGUGGGCGCUGGAGAACUGAGGGGGGCUGCUCCUAGUACGAGAGGACCGGAGUGGACGCAUCACUGGUGUUCGGGUUGUCAUGCCAAUGGCACUGCCCGGUAGCUAAAUGCGGAAGAGAUAAGUGCUGAAAGCAUCUAAGCACGAAACUUGCCCCGA